CUAAAGCUAAGCCACCAGAGGG
rnacentral:miRNA from 1 species